UACGGGAGGCAGCAGUGGGGAAUAUUGCACAAUGGAGGAAACUCUGAUGCAGCAACGCCGCGUGGAGGAUGACACAUUUCGGUGCGUAAACUCCUUUUAUUAGGGAAGAUAAUGACGGUACCUAAUGAAUAAGCACCGGCUAACUCCGUGCCAGCAGCCGCGGUAAUACGGGGGGUGCAAGCGUUACUCGGAAUCACUGGGCGUAAAGAGCAUGUAGGCUGUUUAUUAAGUUGGAAGUGAAAUCCUAUGGCUCAACCAUAGAACUGCUUCCAAAACUGGUUAUCUAGAGUAUGGGAGAGGUAGAUGGAAUUUCUGGUGUAGGGGUAAAAUCCGUAGAGAUCAGAAGGAAUACCGAUUGCGAAGGCGAUCUACUGGAACAUUACUGACGCUGAGAUGCGAAAGCGUGGGGAGCAAACAGGAUUAGAUACCCUGGUAGUCCACGCCCUAAACGAUGCACACUAGUUGUUGCUAUGCUAGANCAUAGCAGUAAUGCAGNUAACACAGUAAGU
rnacentral:rRNA from 1 species